rnacentral:rRNA from 1 species
UAGGGGAAUCUUCCACAAUGGACGAAAAGUCUGAUGGAGCAACGCCGCGUGAGCGAAGAAGGGUUUCGGCUCGUAAACUCUGUUGUUAAAGAAGAACAUAUCUGAGAGUAACUGUUCAGGUAUUGACGGUACUUAACCAGAAAGCCACGGCUAACUACGUGCAAG